CUCAUUCCCUCUUGUCUGCUGCCAUGUGUCUUGUGUCUUUCACCAUGAUUGUGAGGCCUCCCCUGCCGCGUGGAACUGUGAGUCCAUUAAACCUCUUUUUCUUUAUAAGUUACCCAGUCUCGGGUAUGUCUUUAUCAGCAGUGUGAAAACGGACUAAUAAAGUAGUGAAAUGAGGUUUUUUCACCUCAUGGAAAAUAGACAUUGUAUGACCCAUCAGUUUCCUGUUAUUUUAACCUUCACUAGGGUCAUGAAAAAACUCAGAGCAAGUUGUAUUUCUUCUCUCCUACUUGCUCUGUCAUCUGUAGAAAUUAGCUGAGGUAAAGAGGCACCUUCUUCUCAUUAAUCAUUGUAAGUUAAGGAAUAAUUUUAUUGCUGUGAAUGUUUUGGGCCGCAUGCCCAUUUCAAAGUUGAAGAUGUUAAGCCGACCCAUUUUCUCAUAAGAUGUAUGUUUCUGCAUCUUCAACCAAUAUUCCUUGGUCUGCUAAAAUACAUUAGAAAGUAGGAAAGAUAAAUAGACUCACAUAGCUGUUUUGAGGCAGCAGAUUGAACCAUAAGGCAUAUAGAAGUUAUAGUUUUAUGUCUGCUUAUACCAUAAUAAAUAACUUCAAAAAUAGACAAAUUCUUUGCAAAAUAAAACUGUAGGAUAAACCAGAAGGCUAGAAACACAAAAUACUGAAUGAUCAAGUCAAAAUAGAAUCCUCACUUUGCUUAGUGACCAAACCUGAUUCAGAAUAAAGCAAUUAUGCAAGGUAUAAGAACAUCAGGUGAAAAUGCCUCUAAAUAAAUAAAACGCAGCAUUUGUUUCACAAAUAUUUGAAAUUUCAAUAUAAUAGAACACAAAUUAAAAUGGCUUCAUUACAGAAAUUAUAGCCUUAAGUUUGCCUUUUUGUAAAAAAAAAAAAGAAUAAUUAUAUUCUAUCUUUAAAUAGAUUGUAAACACCACAAGCAGGGUGUGUGUGUGUGUGUGUGUGUGUGUGUUAUUCACUAAUGUAUGUCCGGCAUAUAGAAGGUGUACAAUAAAUAGUUGUUGGAUAGAUUUUAUAAAAGAGUUUCCUGUAUAUAAUCUCAUAUGAUUUCACCUGAUCCAGCAGUCUUAAUGUAUAGUAGACACUAGUCAUAUGUAUUAGCCCAUAGGCACAGACUAAAGAGUGCAGUACCCAUCUGUGUCUGUCUACUUGAUAGACACCAAAUCUCUCAGUAUUCAUUGGAUGGUGAUGCCUUCUGCAAAGAUUUGGUCAGACUCAAUUCAGCCCCCUCCAUUCACUACCGCAACACCAUAUUUUAUUUUAUUUUUACUUAUUUAUUUUUGUUUCUAUUUUUUUAGAGACAGGGUCUUACUCUGUCACCCAGGUUGGAGUGCAGUGGCACCAUCAUAGCUCACUGCCAUCUCGAACUCCUGAGCUCAAGCCUCAGGCCUCCCAGAGUGUGAGCCACCACUCUCAGCUCAUACUUUAUUUUCUUAAUAAUUUUUACAAUUAGAAGAAAUUAUAUUAUUCAGCUACACAUUUACUCGUUUAUUGUUUCUCCCAUCCCACUAAAAUGUAACUUCCAUGAACAAAGGGUCCUUGUCUGUCUUAGACCCUAAGGAAGUACCUCAUACCCAGUAGACACUGCAAGAUUUCUAUGUAUAAAUGAAUCAGUGGGUCAGCCAUCUACUUGGAAUUAUUUGUCUGGAUUAUCUUUUGUUCAAUUAUUCUCUCUCUUUGCAUACUUUACUUGAGUGGCACAACUGUUUGUCUGUUUUUGUUUGUAUGCUUGUGGCUUUUCUUUUUCUCUCUUUCCUCCCCCGUGAUGUGGAUUUCCUCCUUGGUGCACGGGUGAGGCACCCUCGAAGACCUAGCAGGAUCAUGGUAGAAUCUAAGAAAAAACAACCGUGAAUUCAAUGGCUUAAGCUAGCUCUUCUCUAUUAUCUCAAAAAAGACAGACUCUUGCUCUGUUGCCCAGUCUAGAGUGAGCAAGCAGCCUCUCACUAGAGUUCACUGCAGCCUGGAGUUCCUGGGGUCAAGUAAUCCUCCUGCCUCAGCCCGCCAGAGCGCUGGUAUUACAGAUGUGAACCACUGCAUCUGGCCAACUGUUCUUUUAAAUCAUGUCACUUUACAAAGCAAUUAUAGGAAUCUUAUAACCAUAUAUAAUAAUUUCCAAAUUGUAUGGCUACUAUAAGUUGAUUAAAAGUCUAGAGAACAACAGAUUUGAGGCUUAUAAUUGUACUGUAAUGCAUGCUUUAUUCAUUAGGAUCUCAGCACGUAGGCAGACAUUAAACAAAACUUAUGCUAACAUUUGAGGACUCACUGUAUUCUAGGCACUGGUAAGGGCUUGAUAUAAAUUAUCUUCUAUAAUCCCCAAAACAAUCCUAUUCUUCCCCCUUGGUACGGAUGAAGAAAUUGUGCCUUCACCACAGAAAUAGCAGAGCUGGAAUUUGUUCCAGGAAGUCAGACUCCAGAGGCCACGUUCUUAAGCUCUGAAUGAAAACAGAAAAAAGCACAAUAAAAAGUGAACGCACAUUGAGAAAUGUGCGUUCACUUUAUAUUGUGCUGUUUUUAAGGAGAAAGCGUAUACUGUUCUAAUUUAUAUUACUUAUUUGCUAAUUUUCAAGAAAUUUCAAACUUCCCAUUUCAGUGUUAGAACUGAAGUGAGAAUCAGAAGCCCUGAGCUCUUUUUCCGUCUCUACCGCCCCUUUGACAUCAGACCAGUUUUUGACCUUUCUAAUAAAAUGACCUGUAUCCUUGUGAUAUGGUUUGGCUCUGUAUCCCCACCCAAAUCACAUCUUGUAUCUCCCAAAUUCCCAUGUGUUGUGGGAGGAACCCUGUGGGAGAUAAUGGAAUCAUGGGGGCGGGUCUUUCCCGUGCUGUUCUCCUGAUGGUGAAUAAGUCUCACGAGAUCUGAUGGCUUUAAAAACGGGAAUUUUCCUGUGCAAGCUCUCUUCUCUUGUCUGCCACCACGUGAGACAUGCCUUUCACCUUCCGCCAUGAUUGUGAGGCCUCCCCAGCCACGUGGAACUCUAAGUCCAUUAAACCUCUUUCUUUUUUAAAGUGCCCAGCCCGGGGUAUGUCUUUAUCAGCAGCGUGAAAACAGACCUUGUCUAGUGCUCUUGGUAUUGAAGCCUUGUGGUGCUGUAUUGAAGUCAAUGGGGAUAUAAUAGGUCAUCCCUAAGUGGAUAUGUUCCUCAUGCCCACUGCAAGGCAACCAUAACAGAGUAUAAAACAUGAGCCCAAACUUCCAUGUAUAAAAAAAGUGCACUUGAGAGAGCAUGAAGAUCAUUUGGUUCAACAUCCCUGUCUCUGUAUUUCCUUUGCCUUAUAAUAUCGUUGACUAGGACUCAGUGAUUCCCCACAGCGGUGCUUUUAGCCUUUGACGCAAUUCUUGGUUGUUGAGGAUUAUCCCAUGAUUGGAAGAUAGUUAACAUCUUUGGCCCCACCUUCAAAAUGCUACUAGAGCGCUGCACAUUUUCAAACACAUACCUAGGAAAAAACAGUAAAACCUUUCGUCAAAAACCAUGCGAAAACUCCUAGAAUCUUUAUCUCUCACUCAGCCCAGAGAUUGUCAACAAUAGAGAAACAUCACGGAAGACAAAAAACCCACAGGCACUUUGAGUCCACCAGUCAACAGCCUAUACUGAUUGCUGGUGGGGUUCCCUGUAUCCAGCGAGGAAGACAGAAUGCAAAGCCAAGAAAGGUACAUGAAAUGUGUGGUAGUGGUUCCUCUUGUGAUCAAGCAGCUUUAGAGAUUGGCAUUGAAAAUAUAGAACUAUGAUUUAUGAUCUUCAACAUGAAAAUGAUCAUUGAUGCGACACAGAAAAAUACAAAACAGGAUUGACGGCCACAAUGUGUAUAUGUGUUGUGAGUGUAAAGGGUAGAAUAUUUCAGACUCUCUGUGUUAACCAAAAAUAAAAUUAUUUUCUUGUUUUUCUGUAACUCAACCUCAAUUUGAACACACUAUUUCACAUAAUAACAGAAAUUUGGUCUAAUCAUUCAAAACAAACUCCAAGGUUUUCUCAGUCAUUUCUUACGUAAUCUCAAUAUUCUCUCUCUUUCAUUCCUUUUCCAUUUGUGGAGGUGAGAGGCUAAUAAUAGUAAUAAUUAUAACAAUAGCUAAAAUAUUAAGCUACUAUUAACUUCUUAAGGUGCAAUCCCUCCCUCACACCACUCCCUGCUUUCUCAUCCCCAGACAGCUGAUCUUCUUUCUAUCGUGAUAGAUUAGUCUGCAUUUUUAUAUGUCAUUUUAUAUAAAUUGAAUCAUACCAUAUGUACUCUUUUUGUUUGGCUUCAUUCACUCAACAUAAUUUUUUUGAGAUUCAUUCAUAUUGUUGCUUGUAUUAAUAAUUCAUUCCUUUUUAUUGUGUGAAUAUACCUCAUUCCAUUAAACAGGUAAUGGAAAUUUUGGUUGUUUCCAGUUUGUAACCAUCACAAAUAGAGUCUCUGUGAAUAUUAAGGUACAACCUGUUUGGUGGACAUAUGUUUCCACUUUCCUUCUACUCUUCCUAGAAGUGGAAUGCAGGGGUCAUACGGUAGGUGUUCAUACAUCUUUCUAAGAAAAUGCCAAACUGUUUUCCAAAGUGAUUUUAUUAUUUUACAUUCACACCAGUAAUGUAUAAGAGUUUAUAGUCCCUCCAGCAAACUAACAAGGAACAGAAAACCAAACACCACAUGUUUUCACUCAUAAGCGGGAGUUGAACGAUGAGAACAUAUGGACACACGGAGGGGUACAUCACACAUCGGGGCCUAUCAGGUGGUUGGGGGCAAGGGUAGGGAAAACAUUAGGACAAAUAUCUAAUGCAUGUGGGGCUUAAAACCUAGAUCAUGGGUUGACAGGUGCAGCAAACCACCAUGGCACAUGUAUACCUAUGUAACAAACCUGCACGUUCUGCAUAUGUAUCCCAGAACUUAAAGUAAAAUUAAAAAUAAAAAAGUUUACAGCCCCCCAAUAUGUAAUAUGCUCAGACUUUUAAAAUUUCUGUCAUUUCAGUGGGUGAGUAGUGAUAACUCAUUGUGGUGGAAUUUUCAUUUCCCUAGUGACUAAUGAUCUUAAGCCUCUUUUGAUGUGUUUAUCAUCUGUAUAACUCCUUUGAUAAAACAUCUGUUUGUAUAUCUUGCCCAUUUUCUACUAUGCUAUUUCUUUUUAUUAGACAUUUUUAUGUUCUAAUUACAAGUUAUUUAUCAGAUUCAUGUUUGCAAUAUUUUUCCUGGUUUAUUUGCUUAACAGAAUAAACUGUUUUAGAUGGUAAUGCACAAUAUUAAUUUUUUUCUCUUAUGAAUUGUGUUUCUGGUGUUGUAUUUAAGAAAUAUUUUCCAAGGCCAAGACCACUAAAGUUUUCUCCUAUGUUAUCGUCUAGAAGUCCUAUACUUUUGACAUGUUUUUUUCUUUUUUUUGAGACAGAGUCUCACUCUGUCACCCAGGCUGGAGUUCAAUGGUGAGAUCUCGGCUCACUGCAACCUCCGCCUCCCGGAUUCAAGCAAUUCUCCUGCCUCAGCCUCCUUAGUAGCUGGGAUUACAGGCAUGCGCCACCAUGCUCGGCUAAUUUUUGUAUUUUUAGUAGAGACAGGGUUUCACCAUGUUGGCCAGGCUGGUCUCAGACUCCUGACCUCAGGUGAUCUGCCCACCUCAGCCUCCCAAAGUGCUGGGAUUACAGGCAUGAGCCACCACACCCAGCAAUUUUAGGGUUUAUAUUUAAGUCUAUGAACCAUUUCAAUAUAAUUUUUGUUGAUAUUGGGAGGUAAGAGUUGAGUAUUGGGUUUCUGCAUGUGGCUACGUGAUUGUUCCCAAACCAUUUGUUGAAAAGAUUAUACUUUUCCCAUUAAACGCAUUCCACUUACCUAUUUUUCUAUCCUUACACCAAAAUCACACUCUCUUGCUCACUGCAGAUUUAUAUGCUAAGUUUUAAAAUCAGUUAAUGAAGACCUCCAACUUUCUUCUUUUUCAAAGUUGUUUUGGAAUUUCUACGUCCUUUGCAUUUCUAUAUAAAUGUUAGAAUAAUGUUGUUAAUUGCCUGAAAAAAAAGGCUUUCUAAGGAUUUGGUUAUCAUUGUGUUACACAUGUAGAUCAUUUGGGGGAUAAUUAAUAAUAACAUUGAAACUUAUGAUCCAAACACUGUAUAUUCUCCAAUUAUUUAGGCCUUCUUUAAGUUAUCUUAGCAAUGAUCGGUAGUUUUCCAAGUACGGGUCUUGAGAAUCUUUCGUUAAGGGUAUACGUCGUUAUGCUAUUUUUUUUUUUUUUUUUUUUUUUUUUUUGAGACUGAGUCUCGCUCUUUCGCCCAGGCCGGACUGCAGCGGCACUGUCUCGACUUACUGCAAGCUCUGCCUCCCGGGUUCACGCCAUUCUCCUGCCUCAGCCUCCCCAGUAGCUGGGACUACAGGCGCCCGCCACCACACCCGGCUAAUUUUUUGUAUUUUUAGUAGAGACGGGGUUUCACCAUGUUAGCCAAGAUGGUCUCGAUCUCCCGAUCUCGUGAUCCGCCUGCCUCGGCCUCCCAAAGUGCUGGGAUUACAGGCGUGAGCCACCGCGCCUGACCUCCAAUGCUGUUUUUAAUGUACUUUUUAAAUUUAUAUUCCUAAUUGUUUGCCACCCAUAUAUACAAAUACAAUUUAAUUUUGUAUUUAUAUCUUGUCAUCUCUAGAUAUAAUUGGUUUUACUUCUUCUUUUUUUAUCGGCAUGACUUUUGUUUGUUUUUCUUGCCUAUUGCAUUGGAUAGAACCUCUAGUACGAUAACUGAGCAAAAGCAAUUAAAGCAGACAUCCUUAUUUUCUUUCUAUCCUUAGAAGGAAAGCAUUAAGUCUUUCACCAUUAAGUUUGAUGUUAACUGUAGGUUUCUCACAGAUACCCUUUAUUAAGGUUAACACAGCUUCUUUCUCUGCUAAUUGUUUUUUUCAGAAAUGAAUGUUGGAUUUUGCCAAAGCUUCUUCCACAUCUACUGAGGUGAUCAUAUGGUUCUUUUGUAAUCUGUUAAUGUGGUGAAUUACAUAGGUUGAUUUUCAGUGUGAAACCAACUCUGCAGUCUUGGAUGAAUUCUACUGGAUCAUUAUGUGAUAUCUUUUUAAAAUACUGUUAGGUUUGGCGGGGCAUUGUGGCUCACACCUGUAAUCCCAACAGUUUGGGAGGCCAAGGUGGGUGGAUCACUUGAGGCCAGGAGUCUGAGACCAGUCUGGCCAACAUGGUGAAACCCCAUCUCCACUAAAAAUACAAAAAUUAACUAGUGCCCACCUGUAAUCCCAACUACUUGGGAGACUGAGGCAGAAGAAUUGCUUGAAUCCAGGAGGCAAAGGUUGCAACGAGCCAAGAUCGCCACUGCACGCCAGCCUGGGUAACAGAGCGAGACUCUGUCUCAAAAAAAAAAAAAAAAAAAAAAAAUUGUUGGGUUCAAUUUACUAAACUUUUUGCAAAAUUUGUGCAUCCAUCUUUAUUUAGCCAUUGGUUUGUAGUUCCCUAGAAAUUUCUUUGGAAAGAUUUUCUGGAAAAGGUUGUAUUGAAUUGGUACUAUUUACUUGACAUGAUUAACACAUAUUCACAUAUUUUAACUCUUAAUCUCCAUGAAAACAGUAUGAAGCAGACCAUUAUCAUGAUUUUACACAGUGAUUAAUUCACUUGCCCAAGGGUCAUAACUUAUAAAUCAUGGGGCCAGAAUUAAAACUUUGUCAGUCUAAUAAAGACGCACUACUUCACUAUACUAAUUUCAAUUACAGUCAAAAUGAAAUCAAUACCUUUAAUAUAUAAGUAGUAUAUGUUUGGUAAUCUCAUUUAAGCUUCAUUGUUCAUAGACUGAGAUCUUGGCAGAAAGAGUGGAGGACCUUUGCUAAGGAUACAUCUAGCUCUUUGGAAAUAACAGUAUCUAACAGCAUGUUAAAAUAGGAAACUUCUUGCCCCAGCUUUUGGUGAGGUCCCCAAAGGCUCAGAAACAAAAUUAAAGGUUCAAAUUUGCAAAAAUGAUGUUUAAAAACUGUUUUUAUGAGCCUUAGUUAACAAUCAGUCAAGGGUUGGUAGUAGAAGAGGCUGAAAUAUGUGAAAGCUGGAUAAUUGAGGCAUUCUCCCACCUACUCCUCUUUGCCAUAAGUCUAAAAAGAGGAGAUUCGAGAAGACCACCUGUAGAGCUACCUAUUGUGUGAGAAGCAAAGAAGCUGGUGUCUGACUCAAGGCUGACUAGAGCAAAUGCAAAAAUCCAUGCUGUGAGCUGCUUGCAAUGUCAGGACAAGAAAAGCACAGCAAAGAAGGCAGCUAUUCUUUCAUAAUUUAGAUGGGCAAUGAUGCACGAGUUGCCUGAGAGAAAAAUGGAUGAUCAAGAAGAAGUUCAACAGGUCAAAGUCCCCUGAAGAGCUCAUUCCCAAAAAAUAAAAAUAAGAAACAAAACAAACAGCCAGGGUAAGGGGACCUCAGCAAAAAGAAGCUAUGGGUGGUACCUUUGGGUAUUGAUGCCUGUUGUGAGACCUCGAUUCUUUUCUUCUUAGUUUGAAAUAAUUUACACAAGCAACACACAGGAAAAGAGAUGCAACAUAGAGUAAUUUAUUGCAAAGGAAAAAAAAUAUUUUGAAAGUUAAGUGCAGAAUAGGCAAUACACACUGAGAGGGGAGUCAGAGUGACCUGCCCGUGAGGAUGAGACAGCAAAGACUGGCACUAGGGAGACUCCCUUUAUGGGAAUCUUACGUAAUCAUCCAUGAGCAAGUGGGAAGAGGUGUCUGGGUGGCCCUCUGGGCACACAUGCACAGUAGCUGUACAUGCCUGUUCAUAUGUCACGUGUCUCAUUAGCAUCUUAAAUCUCCACCCAGGGUGUGUGUUUUUUAGUAUUAUAGUGAGCACAGGGUCAGUCUGAGGACAGAUAAAAUCAAAGUGCACAUGCUCCCUACCGGGGAAAUUCCCUACUGGAGAUAGCUUUGCUUGAAUAAGCUGGACUACAGUGCAAAUGUGGGGGGUUAUUGUUUUGACUGUAUGGUCACCAUGAUGGAUGCAUCCCAAGGACAUGGCUAUUUCCAUGACUACCUAUCCUGCCCCACAGAGGCUCUGAGGAUGAAUCACAAGAAGUUAGCUGGAGAGUGAAUCUCCCACAUGAGAGGAUUGGAGCAGAGGGCAGCCAAGAAUUCACCCUGCAAAAAAAAACCUAUUUGAACAUCCAUCAUUCUCAAAGAAAAAAAAACAAUGGUAUAUCUACUACGUAUGCUUCAUUUAAAAAUUUUGAAUUAUUAUCCAUAAGUAUGACUGGUCAUAGGAGGGGUGUGUGUGUGUGUGUGUGUGUGUGUGUGUGUGUGUCUUUGUUAGGUUUUGAUAAUGCGUUUAUGUUGGCUUUGUACAAGGAAUUUUCUGUUGUGGCCCAAGUAAUAAUGUUUUCUUACAGUCUUACCAUCUUAGAUGAGACUUAAAGAGGCCCAGAGAACAGCCUGUGUUCUUGGUAAAACCACCUUUCCUACUCACUCUCACCUACAAACCCCUACAGCAUUCUCAGUGACCACAGUAAAGUAACUUACAGGCCAUUGACAAAAAGGAGUCUAUUAUAUGGAACAUAUAAUCACUAUUCCCUCGUUGCUCCUGAGAACCCAACAUUAUGCCUUCAUUCCAUUCACCUCAACAAUCCAAUCUUAUCAAGCACACUGCUCUACCAGAUUUUUAACCUCCUAACACUUUGUACAUCCACAAUCUAAAUCCAAUACCCCACCUCUCCCAAAUCCCCUAUAUUCCUUCUCUGAAACUCAUAUUCAUCAGUGUAGUCUAUAAUAUCUUCACCCUCUUUUCUGAGCAUUAUUCGUCCUUCUUCAUGAACGCAGUCUGUCUUCUAUGGACUCUGAUAUUCUGUAACUCUUUCAAGUAGAGGUGAUUUUUUCUCCAUACUAUAUGUGCCACCAAACCUAAAGGUAGAUUAGAUGUCAGACUUUUUCCUCCUUGCUACAUCCAAACAUCUUACCCCCUACUUCUUAAAACCCCCUUGAUAAUUCAGAGCACAUGCCAUCAGAACAUGACACGCUUAAUGUACUGAGAACUGUAGCACUCAGCACGUGACUUUCUUUCAACUGCUAUCAUCAACUUAGGUAAGUCGCUAUGCCUGUAGAGUCAACACCUUGCCCCUCCAGUUUCUUGACCUUUUUGCUUUCAAUAAUUUUCUUCUACAUCCUGCCUCUUCCACCAACAACUACAUCAUCUUCAAUAUCUGGGUUUUGAUCACCCCUGUCUCUGAUAAUUACUUCCUCUGAUGACUUCCAAUUAAGUUGGAAUUAUGAUCACUGGAAUUAUGGAAUGGAUAUGGAAUUAUAAUAAUUCCAAUAAGCUUCACUCCUAUUACUCAAGGUAAUGUCAAACUCACUGUAUCUGUCAAUCCACUAAGCUGGCCACUUUUUUAUGCUACAACACGCAUCUCACGCCCUCCCUUCCCUCCUUACCCAGCUUAGAUCCCAUGACCUACCAUUAUAAUGACUACCACACAUACCCUCAGCCCCUUCAUCCACUUUUUCUUCUUUACACUCAUCUAACAAAACAUCAACCCUAACUAAAUUCAAUUCCAAGUACAACUCUAAGUUCUACAUGUUUAUUAAUCUCUUAAUUGAUUGGAUUUCUACAUUAAGUACUUUUUCCAGGAAGAAUCAUGGAUGUCGUAUUCCCUAGGUCCUUGCAUUUUCAAGAUCAUCCAUCUGUAAUCUUCACACCUGAACUGAAACGAGCCAGGUAUAAAUAUUCUUAUUGAUAUUUUCUUUCUCUCUCAACAGUCUAGAUACUCUUCCACUGUCCUCUGGCACUGAAAGGUUGUGUGGAAAAGUUCUGAAACCAGUCUGAUGUUUAGUUCAUUGUUUAGUUCAUUUUUUCCCUUGAAUCCUGAAUAUUUAAUUAUCCCUAAGAAUCAGUAACUUUGCCUUAUGUAGAUUGAUAUUUAUGGAACAUGGUGCACCUUUCCAUUUUCAGAUGUUAAAACUUACUAAUUUCUUUAUAGUGGAAAAGUUGACGGGGGGUUGUUUUCUCAUUAUAUCUUGGAAUAUUUUUCGGUGUUUUUUUAAAAUCCAGAAAAGGUUAAUUGUUUUUUAUAUUGACCAUGUUUUCUGUAAAUUCUUUCAUGCUUUAUCUUUUUUCUUUGCAUUAUCCGAGUUAUUUCCAGCCUGUUUGUCAUUGGUUUAAUUUUCAACAAUGCCUACCUCACUAUUUUUUAUUAGUUCCAAUAUUAUGUCUUUUUAUACUCAAUUCAUUUCCCUAGUUCUCCCAUACUAUUCUCUGGUCUGUUAUCUUUUCAUCUUUGAGUUUUGGUUUUAUAUAGUCUAUACACUUUAUAAUUUCUUUAAAAAUGCAAAGCAUUAGUUGUGAAUGUUUUUCUUUUGUUUUCUAGGGCGUGUUCUCAUUUAGAGUACUACGCAUGAGAAGGUCAUUUAUUUCAUUUUUUAAAUAAUCAUAGGAACUUCUCAUAGUUGUUAUCCUGUCUCUUCUCAUUUCACUCAUAUUAGACAAGGCAGCUCUUCUCUUUGCCCAUGUGUGAGCUCUCCUUGAAUCUCUUCUUAUCUGCGAUCUAAGAGUGUUGUCUUACCUUCAGAUGGUCAACGUGAAGAAUGGGUAUUGAUAGGUCACACUCACUCUGCUCUUUGUUUAUCUGAGAUUGAGAAGCUAGAGAGAGGAAGCUAUGGGCAGUUAGGAAGAAGUUGGUCUCUUCUCUAUUUUCCUAUUGAUUUUAUAAAAUCCUGUUCUGUAUUUUGUUUUUUCUAGUGAAAUGUUGACUUCUCUCCUUAAUUCAGAGUGAGCUGCUGAAUCUUCCCUCUACAAAAUAUCACUCAUUCUUACUAGGCUUUAUUCCUCUUUCCACUGAAUAUUGAGCUUCUAAGUUCAAAUGGGAGUCUUUCAGGCUAGCCAUUAACUUUUCCUGUUCUGUAAAUGCCAAGAUAAAAUAUUAUGAGAGAUUAAAUUAGUAAAUCUAGUUAGAUUUUUUCUUAUAAUGAAAAUACAAGCUGGAAAAUUGGAGAAUGCUGUACAACCCUUCCAAACUCCAACAUGUUCAUAAGCUCAACUUUCUUAAAUUGAUAUUAAUAUUGUCAUUUCUUACUAACAAGGACUGCAGAUAAGCUUUAGGGACUCUUUUUUCCUUUCUUUCUUUUUAUUUCAACCUGUUGACAUAUAGGCAACAUGUCCACUAUACCAUGAUUUUAAGUGCUCCUUUCAAAUUCAUAUCUAGCCCUUCUUCCUAACCCAUUUUGGGGGUAAAAAGUUGCUGAGUUCAAAGUCCUAACAUCCUAAAGGACUUCUUUCUAAAUUAAGUGCCAUAAAGUUCUUAUCAAAGAAUAUAUGGAUUUACGCUAUCAAAGGCUUCCAUAGAAACCUCUAAUUUGACUCAAAUGAAAAGUUUAGUCCUUUUAAAAUGAAAACAUUAAAGCAAUAAGGUGAAAGCAUCACUUCCAUUGAUUUAGUAACCAGUGACUUCUAAGUGACUUUUAAAUUUGAAUCUCUUUUAAAAACCAGAAACAGGCCGGGCACGGUGGUUCACACCUGUAAUCCCAGCACUGUGGGAGGCCAAGGCGGGUGGAUCACGAGGUUAGGAGAUCGAGACCAUCCUGGCUAACACAGCGAAACCCUGUCUCUACUAAAAAUAAAAAAAACUAACCGGGAGUGGUGGUGGGUGCCCGUAGUCCCAGCUACUCAGGAGGCUGAGGCAGGAGAAUGGUGUGAACCCGGGAGGCGGAUCUUACAGUGAGUCGAGAUCGCGCCACUGCACUCCGGCCUGGGCAACAGAGCGAGACUCUGUCUCAAAAAAAUAAAUAAAUAAAAAUAAAAACCAGAAACAUACUGGCAAAUUCCGGUAGUCUACCUUUAUAUGGACACUGUAUUCUCACUUCAAAUCCAGUAGGGCCAAAAGAAAACUCAUAUUCUCCCUGUUGAACUGGUGUCUUUUUCUGAUUCGUCAUCUAUAACAUUUCUGCCAUUAUAUAUACACAAUGAAGCUUAACAAUCUUCUUUAUUUCUCCCUUUAUCAAAGAGUUCAUUGGUUAAUCAGUCACUCAGUUCUAAAGAUUUUUCUCCACCUUGGGAAUUAAAUCAUAUUUCUUCCUGUCCGUUCACACACACAUACCACUGAGAAAUGCGAGCCCAGGUUACUUUUCUCCCAAUCUCCCAAGCUAUCUUAAUAACAGCCAAUCUCCUCAUGAUUAGGCUCUCACUUUGCCAUCCCAAUUAAAGUUUUGACCAUGUCACCACCAACUUAAAAAACGUUCCAUGGUUCUCCAAUACCUUCUCAACCUCCUUUUGUUGUUUCAAUAUCCCCCACGAUCUGGUCCAAUCUCCCUGUCAACAUCAUCUCACAAAAGUAUACACAGUCAAGCCACAAUGCUUUAUUCACUAUUCUCCAACCACAUUUCAUGUCUUUCAUGAUGACACUUCUUCUGUCGAGGCUCCUGUGUUUAUUGCCACACUAUUCACAGUAGGAAAGAUAUGAAUCAACACGUGUGUUCAUCAGGCCCGGCGCAGUGGCUCACGCCUGUAAUCCCAGCACUUUGGGAGGACAAGACUGGCGGCUCACGAGGUCAGGAGAUCGAGACCAUCCUGGCUAACACGGUGAAACCCCGUCUCUACUAAAAAUAAAAAAAAAAUUAGCCAGGCUUGGUGGUGGGCGCCUGUAGUCCCAGCUACUCGGGAGUCUGAGACCGGAGAAUGGCGUGAACCUGGAGGUGGAGCUUGCAGUGAGCCGAGAUCACGCCACUACAAUCCAGCCUGGGCGACAGAGCAAGACUCCGUCUCAAAAAAAAAAAAAAAGUGUUCAUCAAUGGAUAAUGAGAUAAACAAAAUGUGGUGUGUGUGCGCGCACACACACACACACACACACACACACAGCCAUGUAAAAAGAAUGAAAUCCUGUCUUUUGCCGCAAUAUGGAUGGAACUGCAGGCCAUUACCUUAAGUGGAAUAACUCAGAAACACGAAGACAAAUACCGCAUGUUCUCACUUAGAAGUGGGAGCUGAACAGUGUAUACACAUGGACAUACAGUGUGGAAUAAUAGACACUGGAGAUUCGAAAGGGUGGCAGGGUGGGAAGGAGGUGAAGAAUAAGAAAUUAUUUAAUGGCUACAAUACACACUGUUGGAGUGACAGUUACACUAAAAGCCCAGGCUGCACCACUAAAUUAAAUAUCCAUGUAACAAAAUUGCACUUUCAACCCUUAAAUGUGUACAAAUAAAAAAAAGAACAUUUCUAUUCUUUCCUCUCCUGCUUCAUUUCUACAUGUUAAAUCCUAUUUAGCAUUCAAGUCUUGGAUCAAAUAUGCUGCUACAAAGCCUUCUUUGGGAUUCCGUAAAUAAUUAAUCUCCUCCCUAGAUGACUUUUUAGUUAUCAUUA
rnacentral:lncRNA from 1 species